GAAGUCGUGGCCGAGUGGUUAAGGCGAUGGACUAGAACUUCAUUGGGGUCUCCCCGCACAGGUCCAAAUCCUGUCGACUGCG
rnacentral:tRNA from 1 species